rfam:Thielavia terrestris NRRL 8126 chromosome 2, complete sequence.
GCCGGCGUGGCGCAAUUGGUUAGCGCGUCAGACUUUUACGGAACCGUAGAAGGCCAUCUGAAUGUUGCGAGUUCGAGUCUCGCCGUUGGCG